rnacentral:rRNA from 1 species
GACGAACGCUGGCGGCGUGCCUAAUACAUGCAAGUAGAACGCUGAAGGAGGAGCUUGCUCUUCUGGAUGAGUUGCGAACGGGUGAGUAACGCGUAGGUAACCUGCCUUGUAGCGGGGGAUAACUAUUGGAAACUAUAGCUAAUACCGCAUAACAGUAGAUGCUGCAUGACAUUUACUUAAAAGUUGCAAUUGCAUCACUACCAGAUGCGCCUGCGUUGCUUGUGCUAGUUGGUGGGGUAUAGGCUCACGAAGGCGACGAAGCAUAGCCGAACUGAGAUGGGGGUCAGCCAGACUGAGACGGUGACACGGCCCAGUGGGCUACGGGAGGCAGCAGUAGGGAAUCGGGAGGCAGGGGCGGAAGUCUGAGCGAGCAGCGCCGAGUGAGUGAGGAGGAUUGUCGGAUCGUAGAGCUCUGUUGUAAGGGAAGAACGAGUGUGAGAGUGGAAAGUUCACACUGUGACGGUAACUGAUAAGAAAGGGACGGCUAACUACGUG